GAUGAAGAACGUAGUGAAAUGCGAUAAGUAUUGUGAAUUGCAGAAUUCAGUGAAUCAUCGAAUCUUUGAACGCACAUUGCGCCCGCCAGCAUUCUGGCGGGCAUGCCUGUUCGAGCGUCAUUUCAACCCUCGCAGCCCAUCUGGGCAGCGGUGUUGGGGACCGGCACCACCGGCGAAGCCCUUAGGGGCCCAGCCGGCGCCGCCCCCGAAAUACAGUGGCGGUCUCGCUGCAGCCUCCCUUGCGUAGUAGCACACCUCGCACCGGAGCGCAGCGCGGCCACGCCGUAAAACCCCCGACUUUCUGAGUUUGACCUCGAAUCAGGUAGGAAUACCCGCUGAACUUAAGCAUAUCAAUAAGCGGAGGA
rnacentral:misc_RNA from 1 species